rnacentral:rRNA from 1 species
GAUGAACGCUGGCGGCGUGCCUAAUACAUGCAAGUCGAGCGAACAGACGAGGAGCUUGCUCCUUCGACGUUAGCGGCGGACGGGUGAGUAACACGUAGGUAACCUACCUAUAAGACUGGGAUAACUUCGGGAAACCGGAGCUAAUACCGGAUAAUAUUUCGAACCGCAUGGUUCGAUAGUGAAAGAUGGCUUUGCUAUCACUUAUAGAUGGACCUGCGCCGUAUUAGCUAGUUGGUAAGGUAACGGCUUACCAAGGCAACGAUACGUAGCCGACCUGAGAGGGUGAUCGGCCACACUGGAACUGAGACACGGUCCAGACUCCUACGGGAGGCAGCAGUAGGGAAUCUUCCACAAUGGGCGAAAGCCUGACGGAGCAACGCCGCGUGAGUGAUGAAGGUCUUCGGAUCGUAAAACUCUGUUAUUAGGGAAGAACAAACGUGUAAGUAACUGUGCACGUCUUGACGGUACCUAAUCAGAAAGCCACGGCUAACUACGUG